GGCUCUGUGGUGCAACAGACAGCAUGUUGGACUUCUAGUUACUCGGUAAAGAAGUGACUCAAAGGUUGUGGGUUCAAGUCCCACAGGAGUUG
rnacentral:tRNA from 1 species